AAAUGGCGUCAAUAAAGCCCUGGUGUUGUACAUUAACACAGACGGGGAGUGGGUGGCCAAGAUCAUUUUCUAUGGGGCGGAGUGAUUCGAGGAAAGUUGCCCAGGAGCCGGUGUCUGAGUACCGCAUGUCCGCCGUAUAUCUGAGUGACAGCGCGUAUCAUUGGACAUGAAAUCGCGGACUGCGGGGAGGAGCCCCUCACAUCUGUACCAAAGGUGGAACGAGAGAAAACAAAUCUGCGAGGCGUCGUCAGCGGGCAGCCGCCUCCCGCUCUCGCUUCAGUCGGCCAACCCGGGACCGAGAUGUAUAGACGGAUCCAGAGCCCCAGCUGGCCUUCUGCAGGCCACACUACAUUACAAAACUUGUUCUGGCUGUUGGGAACAUCAUCUCUCCAUCACAAGCUCAAAAAAAGUAUUUAUUUAGUAUUCUUUUUCCCUCCCCACAAUCCACCUGUGCUACAUUUUAUGGAAUGCAGGCUGCCGGGUGGAACAGGGGCUGCCCAAACAAAGACAGAUGAAGGACUGCUGAACAGUCAAAAAAAGUGUUCUACCUACAAGCUGAAUCCGAUUACCGGGAGAAUAUUUGGCCUACCUAGGAUUAGAGGGUUUGAACUGGUCGGAGAUUUACAAAGAUGACAUUCUAGUCAAAUUGACAUCGUCUCUCACAUCCAUCUUCAUUUGUUGCAAGAUGUGUCCUUCUGCUUGAGUGGUGAACUCAGUGGUUUGACUGGAGUGAAACAUAGUCAGAGUGACUCUUGGAGGUAGUUUUAGGAUUUAUUGAUGAUACCAUGGAAGGAGGUUUGCUCUAGGCAAACUAGAGUUGCUUUAAAAUGCCAAGGGACACAGAAUUGACAUGACAGCAGGUUUUUCUUUUCUUUUCCCCCUUUUUUGUUUUUUCAUUUUUAAUUCUGGUUGUCGAUGUUGUUGAUGACUUGUUGUAUUGGUGUUCUCAUUGUUGAAUAAAAAGAAAAUUGUAAAAAAAAAAAAUGCCAAGGCAUGCUGCAAGAUAAACAGAGAGGCCCAGUCUGAUGUGAUUGAAACUCCUGACAGGUAGUAUGCUUCUGCGAAGAGUGAGGGAAUACAGACAAAGACCCCCAUCUCCUUAAAGCAGGUUCAGACAGGUAAGUGUGGAGGUGCGGUGGGUUGAAAAUGUGACAAAACUUUCACAACUAGCUGCCGCGCCUCUCCACAGACUAAUUGAAAAGAAAAGUGUCUAAAUGCUAAUGUUCAAGGGUGUGUGACUAAUGGUUAGUUCACUGCAAACAUGCCCCAGGGUGGGCCAGCGAGCUCACAUUAUGAGGAGUUUCAUAGCGGCACUUAGGCUAAUUGUUCAUUUAAAGAAUAAUGAAAUUGAAAUGAAAAUAUGAAUCGUUGAGAGAUUUACUGGGAAGAUAACAAGAUGUUUAGAUGAAGUAGUCUUUUAAGCACACAGCUUAGUGAGAUGCAGAGGUCUUGGCCAGUCUGGCAUCUUUGACAACACACUGAUUACCUCACAGCGCUCCCUACACACUGCUCUCGAUCAUGUUUCAACAGCAGUUUCAUGUCAGUCCCAGUACCGAUGCCAGGGACUUUCUGGAUCAGUGCCGCUGUGCUGGAGGCAAGGUCAGACCACUACCUCAAAGUCUCUCAUAGCUCACCGAAGAGGAACGUCAGCAGAUUUUCAUCUCAGAUAAGGGAAGAAGAAAUGUGGCGGCUUUGCGGAGAGAUGGAGGCUGACCGCCUCGCCAAGUCAUCAUAAAUGAGUAGGAACAGGAUAACCUCUGGGACUUCAAAGACGCACGAUCAGGUGUUACAUAUGACUUCCAUUCGAAAGAUAUCUUCUGUGAUUGUGUGCAUGUGUGUGUUAUGGAGAGUGUGUGUGUGGGUGGGUGUUAUGGAGAGUUUGUGUGUGUGUUAUGGAGAGUGUGUGUGUGUGUGUUAUGGAGAGUGUGUUCGUGUGUGUUAUGGAGAGUGUGUGUGUGUGUUAUUGAGAGUGUGUAUGUGUUUGUGUGUUAUGGAGAGUGUGUAUGUGUUUGUGUGUUAUGGAGAGUGUGUGUGUUUGUUAUGGAGAGUGUGUGUAGAUGGGACUGGAGCACUGUUUGAGCAUGUCCCUGGAGAAAAAAAGGAUAGAGAAGUGUGUGUGUGUGUGUGUGUGCUUGGUUGAGUGAAAGAUGGAAGGAAUCUGAAGAGUGCAAAUCCAGUGGUGCAUUCCCCCUCUCGCCCUUAUAAAAACACCCGGAGCGAGUGGCUUUCUAGGGGAACGAGGUUCAACUCGAUGAGGGGAAUUCCCCUGGGAGGUUCCCAGUAGAGUCGUGGGGAGGAGAAAACUCUGCCUUUCUCCUUUGUAGAGAGAUAGAGAGC
ensembl:lncRNA